GCUUCCGUAGUUCAAUGGAUAGAAUGUCAGAUUCCGGUUCUGAUGAUAUGAGUUCGAAUCUCGUCGGGAGCA
rnacentral:tRNA from 3 species